AUUGUUAAGCAAGAUGUGAAAUCCCCGGGCUUAACCUGGGAAUGGCAUUUUGAACUGGCAGUCUAGAGUGCGUCAGAGGGGGGUGGAAUUCCACGUGUAGCAGUGAAAUGCGUAGAGAUGUGGAGGAACACCGAUGGCGAAGGCAGCCCCCUGGGAUGACACUGACGCUCAUGUACGAAAGCGUGGGUAGCAAACAGGAUUAGAUACCCUGGUAGUCCACGCCCUAAACGAUGUCAACUGGUUGUUGGGGGAGUGAAAUCCCUUAGUAACGAAGCUAACGCGUGAAGUUGACCGCCUGGGGAGUACGGUCGCAAGAUUAAAACUCAAAGGAAUUGACGGGGACCCGCACAAGCGGUGGAUGAUGUGGAUUAAUUCGAUGCAACGCGAAAAACCUUACCUACCCUUGACAUGUCCGGAAUCCUGCAGAGAUGCGGGAGUGCCCGAAAGGGAAUCGGAACACAGGUGCUGCAUGGCUGUCGUCAGCUCGUGUCGUGAGAUGUUGGGUUAAGUCCCGCAACGAGCGCAACCCUUAUCAUUAGUUGCUACGCAAGGGCACUCUAAUGAGACUGCCGGUGACAAACCGGAGGAAGGUGGGGAUGACGUCAAGUCCUCAUGGCCCUUAUGGGUAGGGCUUCACACGUCAUACAAUGGUCGGUACAGAGGGUUGUCAAGCCGCGAGGUGGAGCCAAUCCCAGAAAGCCGAUCGUAGUCCGGAUUGUUCUCUGCAACUCGAGAGCAUGAAGUCGGA
rnacentral:rRNA from 1 species